UACGGGGGGGGCAAGCGUUGUUCGGAAUUACUGGGCGUAAAGGGCUCGUAGGCGGCCAACUAAGUCAGACGUGAAAUCCCUCGGCUUAACCGGGGAACUGCGUCUGAUACUGGAUGGCUUGAAUCCGGGAGAGGGAUGCGGAAUUCCAGGUGUAGCGGUGAAAUGCGCAGAUAUCAGGAAGAACACCCGUGGCGAAGGCGGCUCUCUGGUACGUGACUGACGCUGAGACGCGAAAGCGUGGGGAGCGAACAGG
rnacentral:rRNA from 1 species